GAUGGGACGGCGCGCGGUGGAACGGCACGGCGCCGGCAGCGGGGCCCUCCGCUCCGUGUUGCAGCCACCGCCCCGCUGCCGCCCUCGCCUCCCCAACCCCCGCCGCCUCCAGCCCUGCCAAAGGCUGGGGCGACGCCAGCUCGCGCCCUCCGGGGCUGUGCCAGCGCCGGCCGCGCGCCCGGGCAGCCCCCGCGCCCUCCCCGCGGCGCCUCGCGGCGCGCCCCGCGCCCUCCCCGCGGCCGCCGCAGCCCGUGUGUCCGGCCACCCACGCCCCCCCCGGUUCACCUCGCCGGGCUGGGGGCGGCGCAGCCCCGCGGGGGUGUCCCCAGGGCCGCGGGCAGGCCCUCCAUCGCUGCACAGGAAAUACUUGACCUAGUGUGUCACAGCAUCGCGCUGGUCUUUUCCGUGGCCGCGCUGACCUGGGAGCUGGGAAGGGCUUUCAGCGUCCCCGCCGCCUCCCGGUAGCCCCUACGGACGUGCGUGUGGCUCAGCAAGAUCUCAGUUCUCCAGGCCCUUUCGGACGUAACUGUCACCGUCUGCUAGUACGUUUCAGUCCCCCCUUCUAAUACUCUGAUACACCCAAAUCCUGUCUUCCUGCUCUGCGUUAAUGAUGCCACUCUUGCAUCAGCACCAAAUCUCUGCACGCAAGAUACUUAGCAAACACAACGAGCAAAAGUACCAAAUAAAACUGGUCACAAGGCAAAACUGCAUCUGUAACCUCCCUCCAGUCCAAAAGCUCCCUGUGAAGAGACAACCCGUAAUCUUCCUUCUUGAAUUUGGAUUCAAUUUCUGUGUACAAAUCUUAAAAUGAUAUCCACUACCAUAGGAAGUUGCUGAAGUUUAAAUUAUAUACCAGACCAAAAACACUUGGAAAAGGCAAACUGUCAACAGAAAUUCAAAGGCUUCCAAUGCUCAGCUCGGCGAGAAACAGAUGGAGAAGCAGAUUAGUGCCUUGUCAUUUAUAGCGCUGUUUGUUACAUAGGUUACAUGCGUUCUCAUUUCCUUCAUCUUACACUCCUGAGGCCUGGCCUAAAACCCGCUGAAACUGAAGGGAGUCUUUCCGCUUUACUUCACCCUGUUUUGCAUCAGAUCUUUACACAGUGCAGCUGAUACGGAGCGUAACCAGGUCUGCACUCUGAUUGGAGCCAGUUCAUUAGAUAAAUAAUUAGCAUGCAGCUUCUUGUCAAAAUCUGGAAGUACUUUAAACUGAAACUGUAGCAGUUAAUGGUUGAUUCUGCUUUUUACUGGUUUUGAAUGCCAAAAACCACCCUGGGACUUCUUAAUGAAGGCUAUUCCAUGAAUAGAGGAUGUUCUUGCCAAAGCUCUGCACCAGAUAACUGAGCAAUCUUCGUUUCCUUUUUCCUCUGAAGUGGGACUCCCACACGCCACCACUGUAAACAUAGAGCUUGCCUCCAUAAACAUGAUUUUUGAUGUUUAGCACAACACAUACUCUAGUGUACUUAAAGUGCAGCAAGCUUCUCACAUUCUGAGUAACAGCCCUAAAAAUAGCUGUUUAUGGACAAUACCAGAUGGAUAUUAGGAAUUAGCACAGUCACUGGGCAACGAUUAUACUUCUUUGUAAAGAAGCUCAGCUUUCUACCAUCCAAUAGGGUUGGUGCCAUUUAAUUUGCUGCCCUAAGCCAUAAUAUCUGCUUUUUCAUAAAUCAGAAGAUGGAUUAGUUAAAAUCAAUUUAUUACAGAACACAAGAAAAUAUCAGCCAAAAUAAACCAAACUUCUGUAAGUAUUUGUCCAAUGUUACUUUCUACAAAUAUUCUUGAAGCAUCCAAAACCUGUUCUGUUUGUAAAGAUCUCUGUGUGAAACACAUCCGAAAGCAGCUCUGCAUUCAGCAUCUGUGUAUAGAGCAGCACACACAUCUGUCCAUAUGCACAGCCCACUUUGUGUGACUGUGUAGCAGCACCAUGACAUCAUCAGCCUUGUCUGCAGUAAUUGACAGGGCGAGCAUUCUGUUUUGUUAUUUUUAUGACUACCAUAAUUAGUGAUUUCCUGUGGAUUUCAUCAAUGUUUCUUUUUUUUCUGAGUCCACAUCAUUCCCUCAGAUGGUUAGCUUGUUUUCACAGCUCAGCUUUCCCUGCUGAAGCCAGCUGCCCUUUAGAAAUCACUCUCUCUCGCGUCUACAAGAUAGCAGGAAACAAGGGUCAUUGUCUCAUUUCUUCCCCUUCCCCCAAAAGAGUUAGGAGUUCAGGUUUGGUUUGGAUAAAAUCCUGAAAUGUGGAUAUGCCUCUGAAUUACCUCAUCGUCUUGGUUUGAGCCCUUAGUUGAACUUUGUCCCAAAAUCCAACUCCAACUAACCAGUGAAAAGUUUAGUAUAGACUUAAAAAAGCAUGGAAUCAAAAUUUACCUUGGUAUAAACAUAUAUUUUGAAAACAAAAUACAUACUUAUAUUAUAAAUUAUAUGUAAUUGGCUUUUUGGAAUUCUUACCCCCACCAGUUUAAGGAAUGAUCUCACAGAUCCUUGCAUCUGCCAGAUGAGUAGCUUCAUUCAUAUCAUAUAUAUAUAAUUCUACCGUACCAACUGUGAAAUAAAGUUAUUUGCCUAAAUAAAUGUUUACAUUUAACCC